GCCAUUGAAAUAACUUUUCUGUGGUUCCCUGUCUUUGGACACGUAAGCACUGGAGGCAAAGCGAUGUGGACUUGGAGAACUCUGGAGCCAGCUUGCUCCCUGCAGGCUCAAGAGCAACCAUCCCACAUAG
rnacentral:snoRNA from 1 species